GUAUUCCGCGGUUCCUGCCCCUGCCAGUCACUGGGGGCGGAGCCCUAUGUAAUGUUAUCGCAAGAAACAGCCGCCUGCAGCGCGGAGCUCCUUGACACGUGGUAUUCCGCGAGCCCCUCCCCCUCCAGUCGGCGAAGUGCAUCACUUAGUUGGGAGUUGUCAGAGCGGUUGGUAGCGGACUACUGGAAGAAAGGAGGAUGGCGGAGGCACCGGGAGCAGAUAAUAGAGAGAACGUCUUCCAAAUUUUGCAGGAGUUGAACAGAAACUCUACUGUCAACUUGGAGAUUCGUUUACAAGUUGCUGAUAUUUGGGAUCAAAGUAUCAGUGAAAUUGAACAUUUUCGAAGUCAUCUUUUAACAGCUUAUACGACCAGUGCAGGAAAAGAAGAAAAUGGGCGUAAUGACCUCACCUAUGCUGCAGUCAAAGGGCAAUGUACUGACAAUAUUGAAGAUGAAGAUUGUGUAGGCAAACAUAAUUUAUUGCAUCAGGCAGUUGAAUUCCCAUUGAUUGUAACCUCAGAACAGUUGAGUACACUGGAUUCCAUUGGACCAUCAUCGGACAGUGAUCAGAAUUCACAGAUAAAUGUUGACACACAGCAGAACUAUAACCUGCAAAACACUAAUACAGACAAAUGCAAUCCAGCAGAAUCAAAUGAUUCAUUUGAAAGCGAGGAAGUCGACUGUUGGAGACAAUAUUUAUAUUCUUCACUUAAAAGGGGAACUGAAGAAGUAGACUUUGAAAGUUUAAGCAUAUCUGAUAGCACCUUUAAUGUAAAUGAAAGUGGUCUGCUGAGUAGUACGAUGAAAAAUAAUGAAUUUAAGGACAUUGAACAAGAUGACACACAACAAUGCAUUACAGACCUUAUACAACCCUGUGAUCUCAAUCACUUUAGUCCUGAGUGUAAGGAAAAUGAGUCAACACUCGAAAAAACUGAAGAUAAUAAGAACACAUCUGAUAAGGAAAAUCUUGACAAAUUGUGUAAAAGCAUGCAUGAAGGUAUUGCAGAUGAAGUGAAAAUCCCAAACCACCUUGAAAGUAAGGCAUUUCAGAAAGUUUUAAGAGAACUGUACACUAAUUCAGAGUUCUUAAGCUCUGAACAUCUCCAAUACAGAGAACAAAUCAACGCACUCAGAACUGAAAAAAAGUCCCUUCAUGUACAGUUAUCCAUAGCAGAGCAAAACGCAGAGGUGUAUAAUCGGCAAGCAAAAGCUCUGACUGACAGAUAUGAAGAACUUUUUAAGCAAAAUAAACAAAUUCUGGAUGAAAGAAACAAUCUAAUGCUUGAGAAGCAGUUACUGGCAAAAGAAAUGGCGCUAUUGAAAAAAGAAAAAAAUAUGUUUCUUAAAGACUUGGCAGCAGCCAAUACUGAAAAAGAAGAGCUCAUAAAAAUGUUAGAGUCCUCAGAGAAAACUGCAUUGUCUUACGCUAGAGAAAAAGAAAAGAUACACCACUUAUGGAACGAGACAUUAACAGAAAAUUACAACCUCAGGAGAGAAACAGAAGAAAGUAGAGCCCAGAACCUGACGAAUGGAACAUUUAAAUGGUCUAUUCGGGCCUUUUACAUUUAAAGAAGUUGAUUUUAGGAGCCAUCUUGGAUUCCUGAGGAUGCUUGGAGUAGCCCAACAUAACCGAGAAGAAAUGGUGCCUAAGAUUUCACUUAAAGAAUUUCCAUGCUACAUUAAAGGCAUCAAAGAAAUACAUGAAAAGCAAAGAAGACCAGAGUAUGGAAAGAUCUGAGUGACGGGGCUACUGAAUAUACAAUAUGGCUUUAGUUUGCAUUGUUUGAGAGAUAUUGCUAAACAAAAAUAAAAUUUAUUUUAUUGUCUGUA